UAGAAAGCUUUUGUCUUGGGAACUGAAAACUCUUCUUGACAUCCACCAUGGCCUGGGCCCUGUUUCUGGUGACACUCCUCAGUUAUUUUUCAGGUGUCCAUUCACAGCGAAGUUGGACUCAGCCUGCCACACUGUCUGUGUCCCCAGGACAAACGGCUAAACUCCCCUGCACUGUCAGUGGAAGUGUAAGUUACUUCCACUGGGUUCGACAAAGACCUGGACAGGGCCCUCACUUCGUCAUCUAUGGCAGUACCCGGGGAGAAAGGAUCCCCGAUCGGUUCACUACUUCCAGCUCCGGGAGCACUUACUAUUUAACCAUCACUAAUGUCCAGACUGAAGAUGAGGCUGAUUAUUACUGUGUUGCAUGGGCUAGCAGCAUGUUACACAGUGCUAAACUCUGA